rnacentral:rRNA from 1 species
GCCUGUUUAUCAAAAACAUUGUCACGGCAAAAUCAUGUGAGGUAAAUCCUGCCCAGUGACACUGUUCAACGGCCGCGGUACCCUGACCGUGCAAAGGUAGCAUAAUCAUUUGCCCUUUAAUUGUGGGCUAGUAUGAAUGGACCAACGAGAGUGCCCCUGUCUCCUGGCUAACACUAAAAAUUGACCUGCAGGUGAAGAGGCCUGCAUAAAGACGGAAGACAAAAAGACCCUGUCGAGCUUAACUUCAAUCAAGAAACUGACUCUUUUUAAAAAUCGCCAACUCUUGUGCGAGUUUUGUUGGGGCGACACGAGAGCAUACAAAACCUCUCCAUUUUCUUACGGCACCACGUGCCAACAAAUGACCCGGACCACCGAGCAAAGAACAAAGCUACCGCAGGGAUAACAGGCUAAUUUCUUCCGAGAGCCCACAUUAACGAAGAAGUUUGGCACCUCGAUGUUGGCUUAGGGCUCCCCCUGUCCGCAGCCGGACAGGCGGUUGGUUUGUUCAACCAUUAAAGUUC